rnacentral:lncRNA from 1 species
GUCCUUGUGCUAGGAUGGAGUAUAUGCCCAAGAGUGGUAUUGCUGGAUCUUGAGGUAGAUCACUUCUCAAUUUUCUAAGGAACUGCCAUAUUGAUUUCCAUAGUGGCUGUCCAAGUUUGCAUUCCCACCAUCAAUGGAGGAGAAUUCUCUUGCUCCAUAUCCUUACCAAUAUGAGCUGUCACUUGUGCCUUUGAUUUUAGCCAUACUGACAAGUAUAAGAUGGAAUCUCAAAGUAGUUUUGAGAUUUACAUUUCCUUGAUGGCUAAGUGUUGAACAUUCCUUUAAGUGUUUCUCAUUACCCCAUGUUUGUUUAUUUUUUUCCCUUGUUAACCUGUGAUUGAGUUUAUUGUAGAGAAAAGUAACAGAAAUUGGUUGGAUAAAGAAAAAGAGUUGAUCAUAGAAUGUUCUCUAAGUCUUAGCAUCCCAGCCAUGAGUCUGCACGAUUUUUUCGCAUCAAGAAGUUAAUCUUUUCAGCCAUUUCCACAUUGUAGGUCCUCCAGGAUGUUUCAUAGCUCUUCUGUUGGCAGCAGCGGCGGUGGCAAGGCUUCUGAUAGUACCAUCGUGGCUUUAUGACUUCAGUAAGCCCAUUGUUGGUGAGGAUUCUGUCCAGGGUUCUGUAGCCACCUUCCAUGUUCCCCUCCUGAACCAUCACAGUCCUGGCAACGAACUUUAGAUGUUUCGCCAUGGCCUUGUAUUUAAAUCUUCAUCCUUCAGGGCCUGGGGCCUCAGAAUUCAGACUCGGUACCCCAUGCUUUAAUUGGAUUGUUUGGCUUGUUGAUGCCUAGUUUCUUGAGGUUUUUUUUGUUUGUUUGUUUUUUGUUUUUGUUUUUUUAAAAUACAGUUUGGAUAUUAGCCCUUUAUCAGAUGGAGAGUUGGUGAAAAUCUUUUCCCAUUCUGCAAAGUGCCGUUUUGUCCUGUUGAUGGUGUCCUUUGCCUUACAGAAAAAUUUUAGUUUCAUGAGGUCCCAUAUAUGAGUUGUUGAUCUUAGUGCCUGCACUAUUCAUGUUCUGUCCAGGAAGUUGUGUCCUGUGCAAGUGCAUUCACAGCUAUUCUCAACUCUCAGCUCUUGGGUGUCCUUCUUUUUUCUAGAGCUUUUAGGAGUGCUGUUAAGUCAUCACUAUGACAUCUCACUAAUUUCUUCUUUUUUUAAAUUAAUCAUUCCAUUCGUUUACAUCUCAAAUGAUAUCCCAUUUCCCCCCUCCACAAACCCCCUUUCCAUGUCUAGCCUUUUUCCCUCCCCUUUGCCUCUCUGAGGGUGCUUCCAUACCCACUCACCCUCUCUGGCUCCAGUAUCCCCCUAUGCUGGGGCAUCAAAUCUCUAUAGGAUCAAGGGCCACUCCUCCCAUUGAUGUUAGACAAGGCCAUCGUCUGCUACAUUUAUAUCUAGAGCCAUGGGUCCUUUCCUAUACAGCCCUUGGUUGGUGGUCUAGUCACUGGGAGCACUGGGUGGUCUGGCCAGCUGGUGUUGUUCUUCCUAUGGGGUUGCAAUUCCCCUCUGCUCCUCCAGUCCUUCUGCUAGCUCCCCCAUCAGGGUCCCUGAGAUCAGUCUGAUGGUUGGCUCUAAGCACCCACAUCUGCUUUGGUCGAUUGCUGGUUGAACCUCCCAAGGAACAGCCAUACCAGAUUCCUGUCAGCAAGCACUUCUUGGCAAUGGGAACAGUGUCAGGGUUUAGUGUCUGCAGGCAGACCUUCAGGUGUGACAGUCCCCAGAUGGCCCUUCCUUCAGUCUCUGCCCCAUUUUUGUCCCUGUUCUUCAUUUGGACAGGGACAUUUCUGGGUUAAAAACUUAGAGAUAAGUGGGUGGCCCCAUCCCCUGACUGGGGGCCGUGCCUAUUUAUUGGAGGCCGUCUCUACAGGAUCUGUCUCCCCUUCUCUGCACUUUUGGCUAAAGUCAUCCCUGUUGAGUCUUGGGAGCCUCUUGUUUCCCUGGAAUCUGGGACCCUCCAGUGGCUAUCCCCAGUUCUUCAUCCCUUACUGCUACAUACUUUUGUUCAAUUUCCUGACCCUUUGUACCUCACUCCAGUACUUGAUACUGGCCCCUUAUUUCCUCCCCUCCUCUCUCCAUCCCAGGUCCCCCUCCAACCACCUCCCAAGAUUAUCCUGUUCCCCCUAUAAUGUAGGACUGAAGCAUCCAUACCCUGGUUUUCCUUCCUCCUAAGCUCCAUCUGGUCUGUGGGUUGUGUCAUGGGCAUUGUGAACUUUUGGGAUAAUAUCUACUUAGCAAUGAGUACAAACUAUAUGUAUUCUUUUGUGUCUGGGUUACCUCACUCAGGAUGAUACUUUCUAGUUCCAUCUAUUUGUCUGUAAAUUUCAUGAAGUCAUUGUUUUUAAUAGCUGAGUAGUACUUCAUUGUGUAAAUAUACCACAUUUUCUGUAUCCAUUCUUCUGUUGAGGGACAUCUGGUUGUUUCCAGCUUCUGGCUGUUAUAUAUAAGGCUGCUAUGAGCAUAGUGGAGCAUGUGUCCUUGUUAUAUGUUGGAACAUCUUUUGGGUAUAUGCCCAGUAGUGGUAUAUACCCUGGGUCUUCAGGUAGAACUAUUUCCAAUUUUCUGAGGAACUGUCAUAUUGAUUUCCAAAGUGGUUUUACCAGCUUGAAAUCCCACCAACAACAAAGGAGUGGUUUUUUUUUUUUCCUCCACAUCCUUGCCAGCACCUGCUGUCACUUGUGUUUUUGAUCUUAGCCAUUCUUAUUUGUGUGAGGUGGAAUCUCAGGGUCGUUUUGAUUUGCAUUUCUUCAAUGACUAAGGAUGUUGAACAUUUCUUUAGGUGCUUCUCAGCCAUUCAAGAUUCCUCAGUUGAGAAUUCUCUGUAUAACUCUGUAUCCCAUUUUUAAAUAGGGUUGCUUGCUUCUUUGGAGUCUUAACUUCUUGAGUUCUUUGUGCCCAGCUCUUGGUAUGGUGGUGCCACCCUUGGGCAAGUGGUCCUGAAGUAUAUAAGAAAACAAUCUGAGCAAGCAAGGAGGGUCAAGCCAGUAAGAAGCACUCCUCCAUGGUUUCUGUAUCAGUUCCUGCUUCUAGGUUCCUGACUUGAGUUCCUGCUCUGACAUCCCUGAAUGAUGAACUACAAGAUGUAAGAUGAAAUAAAUCCUUUCCUGCCU